rnacentral:rRNA from 1 species
UACGUAGGGUGCGAGCGUUAAUCGGAAUUACUGGGCGUAAAGCGUGCGCAGGCGGUUGAUUAAGACAGGCGUGAAAUCCCCGGGCUUAACCUGGGAACUGCGCUUGUGACUGGUCAGCUAGAGUACGGCAGAGGGGGGUGGAAUUCCACGUGUAGCAGUGAAAUGCGUAGAGAUGUGGAGGAACACCGAUGGCGAAGGCAGCCCCCUGGGCCGAUACUGACGCUCAUGCACGAAAGCGUGGGUAGCAAACAGGAUUAGAUACC